AUUGAACGCUGGCGGCAUGCCUAACACAUGCAAGUCGAACGGCAGCACAGUAAAGACUUCGGUCUUUAUGGGUGGCGAGUGGCGGACGGGUGAGUAACGCGUAGGAAUCUGUCCUGGAGGGGGGGAUAACCCGAGGAAACUCGGGCUAAUACCGCAUGAUAUCGAGAGACCAAAAGCAGGGGACCCUUCGGGGCCUUGCGCCCUAGGAUGAGCCUACAGCGGAUUAGCUAGUUGGUGGGGUAAAGGCCUACCAAGGCGACGAUCCGUAGUUGGUCUGAGAGGAUGACCAGCCACACUGGGACUGAGACACGGCCCAGACUCCUACGGGAGGCAGCAGUGGGGAAUCUUGGACAAUGGGGGAAACCCUGAUCCAGCGAUGCCGCGUGUGUGAAGAAGGCCUUCGGGUUGUAAAGCACUUUAGUUGGGGAAGAAAAGUAAUAAGUAAAUAAUUUAUUGCUCUGACGGCACCCAAAGAAUAAGCACCGGCUAACUCUGUGCCAGCAGCCGCCGUAA
rnacentral:rRNA from 1 species